rnacentral:rRNA from 1 species
UACGUAGGGGGCUAGCGUUGUCCGGAAUCAUUGGGCGUAAAGCGCGCGUAGGCGGCCCGGUAAGUCCGCUGUGAAAGUCAAAGGCUCAACCUUUGAAUGUCAGCGGAUACUGCCGGCUAGAGUCCGGAAGAGGCGAGUGGAAUUCCUGGUGUAGCGGUGAAAUGCGCAGAUAUCAGGAGGAACACCGAUGGCGAAGGCAGCUCGCUGGGACGGUACUGACGCUGAGCGCGAAAGCGUGGGGAGCAAACAGG